GGGUGAUCACAUGCAAACGACAAAGAGAGCUACAACCUUUUCCAGGUCAAGAAAUGUAAUUGCUUGGAGGAAAAAUUUGGCAAAAUAAGGAAUAAGCCAAGCAAAGAGAGCAAGCUGAAAGGAAUAAGGCAAAGGCAGGCAGUAACGUCUGGGCAGGCACUGUGCAUUGUUCAGUGUGCCUCCUUUCUGUUUAAAGGGAAAUGGUAGAGGGGAAAUGUCAUUUUUUUUUUUUAUUUGCACAAGUAAAAGAAAGCUGGUAGUUUCCUCUUCUCCCGCUUCUGUGAUUCUUUGCCAUUUUCUGGAAGAAGUAACAGAGGUCAGACAAGGAGAGGGUGAAUUCUCAAAACCGGAAUUUAUUGUUCCAAUACAGAGCAAUGCAAUGGGUUUGCAGUUGGAAUAUGGCUUAUUGAAGACUGAAUGUAAGAACAGGAGACUUCUAGUCUCCAUCUGUGCCCUGGAUAUCCCACAGCAUUCCUUACCCAAAUCCCACAAGGAGAGAGCUGGUAUUCUAGGAGUGCUGUCCCUCCUAAGCUCACAGGUCUCCCCUUUGGAAACUUGCAUCCCAUCGCCUCCUCCCACUGCUUCUAUGAGGGUGCUUCCCCACCCACAAACUCCAGUCUUCUCACCCUGGAAUUCCUAUACACUGGGUCAUCUAACAGCCUCAAGCCCAAGGCCUGCUCCUCCCACUGACAUCUAACAAGGCCAUCCUCUGCCACAUAUGCGGCUGGAGCAUGGGUUACUCCAUGUGUACUCUGAAAGUGGAUGUCAGGAACAGUUCCCUAUUAGCUUGCUGUGAGGAUUCAAUUUAUUAAUCUGGGAAAGUGUACAGAAGAUAUAUAUAUACACACACAUAUGUAUAUAUCUUAAAAAUGAAGUAGAAAUCAGCUGCGGAAAUGUGGACAACACAAAACCAAACUGUCCUGACACAUUUCUUCAGAAGUUCUGGCUAUACCUUUCUCCCAGGUCUUUUCAAACCUUGUAGGAGGCACUGGCCUGCUGCUCUGAAAUUAACUAAGGCCUCCCUGGAGAGGAGCUGUGUCACAUGAGUAUCCUGACACAUCAGUUCCUCCACCUAAAUGUGCCCUGUGACCCCACACUGGAGGAUUCUGAUCAGUGUGCAGGGAGUCCCUGCAACUUCCAGGAAGAAGACUGUGUAUUCCAGUAGCAUUUCAACAAAACAACAGGAGCAGCAGCAGCAGCAGUAACUGCAACAACAACAACAACAACAACAACAACAACAACAACAA